GCGAAUGAUUAAAUCUUUUUAACCCUGAGCUUUUGCUAACUGGGGGAGAGGGAACGUUCCUCCCGAGCCUCCUUCUCUCCCAUUUGGUUUCCGUGAAGAUCACAAAACAGCAACAACACUCUAAUUUUUUAAUGACG
rfam:Paracoccidioides sp. &apos;lutzii&apos; Pb01 unplaced genomic scaffold supercont2.2, whole genome shotgun sequence.